UACGGAGGGAGCUAGCGUUGUUCGGAAUUACUGAGCGUAAAGCGCACGUAGGCGGCUUUGUAAGUUAGAGGUGAAAGCCCGGGGCUCAACUCCGGAACUGCCUUUAAGACUGCAUCGCUUGAAUCCAGGAGAGGUGAGUGGAAUUCCGAGUGUAGAGGUGAAAUUCGUAGAUAUUCGGAAGAACACCAGUGGCGAAGGCGGCUCACUGGACUGGUAUUGACGCUGAGGUGCGAAAGCGUGGGGAGCAAACAGG
rnacentral:rRNA from 1 species